UGUCGUAACAAGGUUUCCGUAGGUGAACCUGCGGAAGGAUCAUUGACACAACAUGCGUCGGCGCCCGCCGCGCACAAAACCUUUCCACCGCGUAUGCGAGACCUCGCCGAUCCAAUCGCGUUGUCCGAACCCUCAGUUGGCUUUUCAUUCUUUUUUUUCACCCACACCCAACAACCAACGCUUGAAUCAACAAAUUCAAACAAACCAAAAGAUUUACCUUUCAACGAUGGAUCUCUUGGUUCCCGCAACGAUGAAGAACGCCGCGAAACGCGAUAUGUAAUGUGAAUUGCAGGAUUAAGUGAAUCAUCAAAUCUUUGAACGCAAAUUGCUGCUCGAACUCUUGCAGUCCGAGCAUGCCUGCUUCAGACUCGUUUUCCAAACGCAAACACGCUGGGCGUUGCACCCGCAAACGGAGGAUCGCCUCAAGAGCUGCGCGGGGUUCCGAACUCGCGCCGAGGUAGUCACUGACCGAGGCGCAUUGCGCGAGGACCCUUCUCUCUCUAUAACCUAGAGCUGAAGUCAGGUAAGAGGACCCGCUGAAUUUAAACAUAUUACUAAGCGGAGGAAGAGAAACUAACCAGGAUUCCCUCAGUAACGGCGAGUGAAGCGGGAUCAGCUCAAUUUGAAAACCUGCCGCCCCCGGCGGUCGGCUUGUAGCCUGGGUGUGGGCCCUGUUGGUUGCGUCCGGUGUAAUUCGGUACUGUGAUACCGAGCCGGAGAGGGUAACAGCCCCGUCACGUCGGAGCGCACCUUCGCCUGGGCCCCUACCCGUGAGUCGUGUUGCUUGGGACUGCAGCGCCAAACCGGAGGUAAUGUCCUUCGAAAGCUAAAUAUUUGCGGGAGACCGAUAGCGAACAAGUACCGUGAGGGAAAGAUGAAAAGAACUUUGAAAAGAAAGUGAAAUAGUACGUGAAAUCGUUGGAAGCAAGCGAAUCAGUCUUCCUUCCCGUCGGGGGCCUCGCGCCCCCGCUCGGGGCCACGAUCGUCCAGCCACCGACCACAAGGCCCGCCACCGUCCACGGACGCGGCGUGUGCUUAGUCGCGGGCUGGCCGAGGAUUUCCGCGCCGCGCCCUGCGUCUCCGGACGCUGCGCGGCCAGGAUCGUGGCUUGCUACCGGACUGAUCCGACCCGUCUUGAAACACGGACCAAGGAGUCUAACAUGUGCGCGAGUAUUUGGGUGGCAAACCCAUGUGCGGAGGGAAACCGAGAUUGCCCGAGCCCCUGUGGGCGCAAGGCAGGCAGAGCGUUGGCCUUCUGGCCAGUGCCUAGCAGGAGCGUACAUGCUGGGACCCGAAAGAUGGUGAACUAUGCGUGA
rnacentral:rRNA from 1 species